UCUGCCCUUAGAAGUGCUGCAGGUGGGUGACUGUGUCCCAUGUGAAUCAGUAGGUGCCAGAGGGAAGAGAAAGGCUAUGUCUAAUCUCAGUGUUCUAACUUAAGAACAUCGGGCUGACUAGUAGCCUAACAGU
ensembl:snoRNA LOC120096820 small nucleolar RNA SNORA17